UACGAAGGGUGCAAGCGUUUUCGGAUUUAUUGGGCGUAAAAGCGCGCGAGGCGGCUUGUUAAGUCAGAUGUGAAAUCUCGGGGCUCAACCCCGAAACUGCGUCUGAAACUGAUGAGCUAGAGUCUCGGAGGGGAAAACGGAAUUUCGCAUGUAGGGGUAAAAUCCGUAGAGAUGCGAAGGAACACCAGAGCCGAAGGGGGUUUUCUGGACGAGUACUGACGCUGAGGCGCGAAAGCGUGGGGAGCAAACAGGAUUAGAUACCCCCGUAGUCC
rnacentral:rRNA from 1 species